rnacentral:rRNA from 1 species
CUCUAUGGCCAUACCACUGUGAACACACUCGAUCUCAUCUGAUCUUGGAAGCUAAAGAUGGUAUUCUAAAUAGCAGGAAGAGGGAGGAAAGAGGGAUGAGAUACUCAGC